rnacentral:rRNA from 1 species
UACGUAGGGUGCGAGCGUUGUCCGGAAUUAUUGGGCGUAAAGAGCUUGUAGGCGGUUUGUCGCGUCUGCCGUGAAAAUUCGAGGCUCAACCUCGAACUUGCGGUGGGUACGGGCAGACUAGAGUGUGGUAGGGGAGACUGGAAUUCCUGGUGUAGCGGUGAAAUGCGCAGAUAUCAGGAGGAACACCGAUGGCGAAGGCAGGUCUCUGGGCCACUACUGACGCUGAGAAGCGGAAGCAUGGGGAGCGAACAGG